CGUGCCUGUGAUGUGUGGAAGUUCCCAAAGCCAGGGAUUGAACCUUUGAUACAGCAGUGACCAUUCUGGAUCCUUAACCUGCUGAGCCACCAGAGAACUCCAGAAUCAGUCCCAUCUUUUGAAGCCCCUUUGAAAUCUUAACUUUCUUCACGAAGCCUUCUCUCUCCCGUAGCACUCAGCUCUUUGACAUCUUUGCUGGUGUCAUCGUUACUGGUUAUUUGGGGGGCUACUCACAGCCUGCUUUAUUCUAUUAAUUCUCUUCUAUCACAUGGCAGCCUUUGAAGCAGUGCCUCUCCCUACCUUUUUUGAAAAAAAUGAAGCAGUGUCUCAUGGCACUACAUUCAAAGGUGUUGUCCCCUAUGGGGGUUAAUUCUUAAGUAUCUUUUCUCUGUCGAAAAGAUGCCCCCUUUUGUUCUCCAUCAAGGUCUGCUCUCUCCAUGCUGAGGUUCCUCUCAGUUGGUGGCAUCCAGAACAUCUUUCAGGAGUUCCCGUCGUGGCACAGUGGAAACGAAUCUGACUAGGAACCAGGAGGUUGCGGGUUCGAUCCCAGGCCUCGCUCAGUGGGUUAAAGAUCUGGCGUUGCUGUGAGCUGUGGUGUAGGUUGCAGAUGCGGCUCGGAUCUGGCAUUGCUGUGGCUCUGGCGUAGGCUGGCAGCAACAGUUCCGAUUAGACCCCUAGCCUGGAAACUUCCAUAUGCUGCAGGUGCGGCCUUAAAAAAAAAAAAAAAGAACAUUUUUCAAAUCACUGGAAGGAGAAGCAGCAAGAUCAGGGCCUCUGGAGGCUGACUUAUCCCAGUUCAGCAGCCGAUUCUGCCUUUGCUAAAAACAACCAGUGUUUCUUACCUGGGGCUCUGCUGGCAUUGAAGUAGGGAAAGCCCUGCGUGAUGAAGGUAUUCGGCAAGGUUGACUCCCAUGCGUUGUGACAACCACAGGCGCCCCCAUUUCAUAGUUCCCCAAAUCUCCCACUUGAGGACCUCUGGGACUCUCCUGAUAGUGUCCUCGAAGGCUGUUUAUCCUCCCAGGACUCUCCAGUCAACCUCAUAGAGUAGUUGCAAGAACCACAUUAGUUCACGAUGUCAAGUGUCUGGUUCGUAGCUCACGUUUAUUGGGUUAUCAAUUGAUUGAGUGAUUGUCACGGUCCCAGGAUGACACCAGAAGGGGGCUUAUGGUCUAGAACAGGUGUUUUCUCACCUCCCUGGCUGUUCUUUGCCCAGGUGGCUUCAGCAGCCCUUGUGUCUCUCUUUACUUGUCUGGGGCGGGGGGGGGGGGGGACACACCUGUUUCAACCUACCCACAGGGUGUGGCGAGACUACACAUCCUUGGUAAGCACUCGUGUCAUCCCCACAUGGCCAUUGGCUUCUUUAUUAAUUGCGCAUGUGGGAUGUUGCAAGCUCGUUUUGGGAGCAGAAGGACACUGGGUGGCUGAUUGUUGAGUGUCCCCUGUGUGCCUGGCCUAACUUGGAACUAGAGAGCGGGUGGUGAGGCCGGGAGAGACUAAGUGCACCUCUCUUUCUGUUCAUACUGGUUGCUAGAUUGUUCCCAGCUGUUCCCUCUUGGAAUUGCUGUAUGGGGCUAUGUGUGUGUACAUGUGUGCGUGUGUGUACGUGUGCAAGAUGUGUUUUCUGAGGACAGUCAUGGAGAGGGAACGAGGGAGAGGCAGAUGGUAGUUGUGCCAAAUAGCUGAAAAAAAGAAAAGAGUCAAGUGACCCGCUCUCCUGAAGGCGAUUGCAGCCACGUUGGGGAGGUGCAGUGUCGAAAAUUCACUUCUGGAGAUGGGGCUGAUUGGAAAGGAGGUCAGAUGUGAGCGCGUCGUCUUAGUGAUGACUUCUUCGGUGGAUAAAUUGUUUUUUUAAGUUGAGCUUCACUUCAAAUGGAUUCUGCCAAGUGAAGUGAGGGCUGGGGGCUGAGGCAGCGACCCCCAGCUGAUGACCUGACAGGUCACUGCUGGAUGUAUAGGAGCCGCCAGAAAGAGCUCUUGUCCUUCAGGGGUGAGGGGACUUAGCCGAGGUCUUCAUGACAUUAAGGGUUUGAAGUUCAAUGUUGACUUAAUCGGGGUAACAAAAAGGGGUCCUCCAUCCAUAAAGAGGGAGCCCACGACAAGAAUCUGAUCCUUGUCCCUGCUCGCCGCAGCUCACAGUCAGUUCUUUUCACUGAGAUCUGCUCUGUGCAGCCACAAAAAGCCUCUUCUUGUGAGUGUGUAGUGCCCAGUCCAUCUCAAUCAGAGAUGCCUCCCCGGUGGUUCAUGGGCCAGAUCUGAUCCAUAGGUGUGUGUUAUUGGGCUGACAGUGUUCAUUGUUUUUAUUUUUAUUCAUUUAUUUUUUAAUCGAUGUAUAAUUGAUUUACAAUGUUUCAUGUAUGUAGCAAAGUGUGUAUGUAUAACAGUCAUUUUGCUAUGCAGAUAUAUGUAUGUUUCUAUUCUUUUUCAGAUGCUUUUCCAUUAUAUUUAUUAUACAAUCUUGAAUAUAGUUCCCUAUGCUCUACAGUAGGUCCUUGUUGUUUAUCUCUUUUAUAUAUAGUAGUGUAUGUUGUUAAUCCCCAAUUCCUAAUUUGCCCCUCCCCCAUCCCUCCCCCUCACCUUGGUAACCAUAAAUUUGUUCUCUAUGUCUGGAGUCUGCUUCUGUUUCAUAGAUAAGUUCAUUCGUGUCAUAUUUUAGAUUCCACAUAUAAGUGAUGUAUGAUGCUUGUCUUUCUCUGACUUACUUUGCCUAGUAUGAUAAUUUCUGGGUCCCUUCAUGUUGCUGCAAAUGGCAUGAUUUCAUUUUUUAAUGGGUUUCUUCAAUUUAGUUGCCUAUUUUGCCAAUUGCCGUAUCUCAUUUAGAAAUCCAGUUUUCCAGCUUCUCUUGAAGAGUCAGAAAAUCUGGCAACAGUGGGCUCUUCUUUCCCAUGCAGCAAAAAUCUGUGAGCUGAGUAAUAGAUGUCCCCUUAAGACGGAGCGCUCGUUCUCAGUGUAUUCGAAUCCCCACCCGUCCUGACCGGAUCCCCAUCAUGCCCAGCCCUCUUGGCCAGAUUUAAGUCCCUGCUGGCCCUGCAGGUGUUCGGGCCCGGGGUCCCAGUCCAAAUGCUAGCCUUCUCCUCUCACGCUGGGCAAAGCGGUGAUGUUGUGGAGACUUGGCUGCUGGUUUCCUGGGGCCAGUGGUGCCUGCAAGAAUGUGUGAGUCUCUGCUGCUGGGUCAAAAGGCCAAGAGUUCAGAAGUCUUGUUCCAGCUGUGCCCUUGACUUUCACGGUGACCUGUCAGCAAUCAUUUAACCCAGGUCAAGCCAGUGGCAAAGUGCUGAAUACCAGGGCUUCUUAAUACAUCUGCUGUGGAAUCAUUUAAGAAGGGGAAAAUGUCCCCAUAUGAAUUUUUCCCUACGUGGUUCUCCUUUUCUCAUUUUUCCCCAUUGUCUUAUAUCUUUGGAGCAACAAUUGUUCUGGAAAUUAAAUUAAAAAUCAUUCUAAUGGAUAUGACCAUUUGGGAAAAUUGUUGAGCAGCAGCUACUAAAGUUGAAUGUAUAUGUGCAUUAUGAACAUGGCUAGCUAUGCAACAAAAGUCUGUUCACAUUUCACCAAAAGAUGUGUACUAGAAUGCUCACAGAAGGCCUUUUUGAAAUAGCCCCAAAUUAGAAAGCACCCAAGUGCUUGGCAGCAAUGGAAUGAAUAAAUCAACUGGAAUACUCACAAUGACUAUGUGAUAUAUAUGUGAUAUAUGUGAUAUAUUCAUCCACUGGAAUACUAUACAGCCCUCAAAAUAGAUGAGCAACAGCUGCAGAGAGUACAGAUGAAUCUUCAGAGCAUAAUGUUGAAUAAAAGAUAAACAGAGGUAAUGCACAGACCAGAGAAAGACGAUGCACUGCAUCUGUUGGAUUAAGGAUCCGGUGUUGCUGUGAGCUGUGGUGUAGGUUGCAGAGGAGGCUCAGAUCCCACGUUGCUGUGGCUGUGGUGUAGGCUGGCAGCUGUAGCUCUGAUUUGACCCCCAGCCUGGGAACUUUCAUAUGCCGUAGGUGUGGCCCUAAAAAAAAAAUAAGCAGAAUGCAUUAGCUCAGCAUCUCUAUGAGGAGGGGGAAACUAGGUUUGGAGGCUCCGCAUCCAGGAACAUGUCGCAGAUGCUGCUGAAGUGGUCUGAUGACAUUGCUUCUAACCACUGGGCAUGUCCAUCAUCGCCUACACCGCUGAUGCUGGGUCAGGAGGCUGCAAGAGAACCACUGCCUCUCCGAGCCCAUCAUCACUCCUGCUGCUGCUCUUACCCAUCCUCUCUGGAGUGGGUUUCUCAGGAUUUGUGCUACUUUGUAUUACUGCCUCAGGCUCAAAGUCAGGCAUGGGUGGGACUGAUGAGGGGAACCUCAGCUCAUUGGUCUUGCCCUACACGUGAGGGAGGCCGGGGAAAGAAGGACUAGGCAUUUUCAGCUUCAGUAGCAGGUGUCAGGCUCCUGGGGCAUUCCCCAAGCUCAGGAGAUUGACAAAUGUCUAUAGGCAAGAUGGCCUGCUGGAUAAUGGCCAGCUGGAUCUCUUAGCUGCCAGUGGCGAGCGCUUUCAGUGUGACUGUGUGCAUCUUGCUGGACCAGAUCUUGCUGGAUUUCACAAAGAGAAAUCUUUUCUUUCUUGUCACAACCCAAAGGUUCCCAGGUGGCAUGGAAGGGGACAUUCAGUCCCAGUGCCUUGAAGAGGCAGGAUGGAAGUGAAGAUACUAACUAGGAAUCUUGAAGCAAAGCUUCUCCCGGAAAUCCUAGGGCUCGGGCGGGUCCCAGAGUCAGAACAGUCAGCUCUGCAAAGAGAUAUGUUGGCAGGAUACUUGAAGGGCACCUGGUUCAGCCUUCCACCCACUGCAGGAAUUUUCUUUGUUUAUUUGGUGACAUUUCAUUGUGCCCACAUUUUCUUCUUGUUUAAAAAAUCAAUUUGUGUAUCCUCAUUCUUAUCCAUAGCGAAAAAAAAAAAAAAAAA
rnacentral:lncRNA from 1 species